UACAGAGGUCUCAAGCGUUGUUCGGAUUCAUUGGGCGUAAAGGGUGCGUAGGCGGCGCGGUAAGUCGGGGUGUGAAAUCUCGGAGCUUAACUCCGAAACUGCAUUCGAUACUGCCGUGCUUGAGGACUGGAGAGGAGACUGGAAUUUACGGUGUAGCGGUGAAAUGCGUAGAUAUCGUAAGGAAGACCAGUGGCGAAGGCGGGUCUCUGGACAGUUCCUGACGCUGAGGCACGAAAGGUCAGGGGAGCAAACGGG
rnacentral:rRNA from 1 species